rnacentral:rRNA from 1 species
AUGGCGGCUGCGACCACGACCACAACUCCUGAGGGCACGCUAGGGAUGCGUCAGGUAAUGUGCACGCUUCAGAGGAAAGAGAUGAUGCACAUUACUCCUUUCUGCAAGAGAGACUUGGAAACCAGAGAAGAGGAGCGAAGAUCAAGACUAGAAUUUGAAAAAAAACAUGAUGGCAAAGUUUACAGAAUUGAGCCAACAGAUGGGAACCCAACAGCUGAUUACAUUCAUAUGCUUGUGACCUUAUCUACUCCUAAUAAGACUCCAGUUGCAAGGCCAACUGUUAUUUCUUCAAAUGCUCUCAUACAAGUUGCAACGAGGAAUUCUCGAAUGUUUAAAGCAAUGGAUCCAAAGAACUAG